ACGAACACUGGCGGCUGCUUAACACAUGCAAGUCGAACGGAGUGGCGAACGGGUGAGUAACGCGUGAGCAACCUGCCUAUGACAGUGGGAUAGCCUCGGGAAACCGGGAUUAAUACCGCAUAGUCAUAGAUGGGCUCGCGUCUGAUUAGCUAGUUGGUGAGAUAACAGCCCACCAAGGCGACGAUCAGUAGCCGGUCUGAGAAGAUGAACCGGCACAGUGGAACUGAGAACACGUCCCAACUCCUACGGGAGGGAGCCAGGGGGAAAUUUGCACAAUGGGGGAAACCCUGAUGCAGCGACGCCGCGUGAACGAAGAAGGUAUUCGUAUCGUAAAGUUCUGUCCUAUGGGAAGCAGUACCAUAGAAGAAAGCUCCGGCUAAAUACGUGCCAGCAGCCGCGGUAAUAC
rnacentral:rRNA from 1 species